GAUGAACGCUGGCGGCGUGCCUAAUACAUGCAAGUAGAACGCUGAAGGAGGAGCUUGCUCUUCUGGAUGAGUUGCGAACGGGUGAGUAACGCGUAGGUAACCUGCCUGGUAGCGGGGGAUAACUAUUGGAAACGAUAGCUAAUACCGCAUGACAACAGUUAUUGCAUGAUAACUGUUGAAAAGGGGCAACUGCUCCACUACCAGAUGGACCUGCGUUGUAUUAGCUAGUUGGUGAGGUAACGGCUCACCAAGGCGACGAUACAUAGCCGACCUGAGAGGGGGCUCGGCCACCCUGGGACUGAGACACGGCCCAGACUCCUACGGGAGGCAGCAGUAGGGAAUCUUCGGCAAUAGACGGAAGUCUGACCGAGCAACGCCGCGUGAGUGAAGAAGGUUUUCGGAUCGUAAAGCUCUGUUGUAAGAGAAGAACGAGUGUGAGAGUGGAAAGUUCACACUGUGACGGUAUCUUACCAGAAAGGGACGGCUAACUACGUG
rnacentral:rRNA from 1 species